rnacentral:piRNA from 1 species
UUGGAGAGUAGAAUGUCCCAAAGAGUCAGG